GGUAUAUAUAAAUGGAGAUGUGCAGACUGUCCCUUUAAGAGUCAUCAGAAGAACAAAUAUAUUAGACAUAUAAGAAUCCAUACUAAAUCUGAACCGUUUCUUUGUCCCCUCUGUCAGCAUAGAUCGGCGAGGAAAGACUAUUUGCAGAAACAUAUACAAAAGGUGCACUGUAGUAAAGGAUUAAGCCUGCAUGAUGUAGAAGUGAUGUAUCCAUAUAUGUAUAAUAUAGACGAGAAGUUAAACAUUAAACCACCAAUGAGUUACUCUAAACUUGAACUGGUGCAUACUACUGAUCUACAGAAUGGGGAUAUAAUAUCGAACCAGCACGUACAUUAUCAAAUAACAAAUCAAGGAUUAACUAACCAUACAAAUAUUCAAGUUGAGGAUACUGACGAAGCACUGAAUUUACAGAGAUAUGAACGUGGUGAAGAUUAUCACAGGUUUCCAGAUCUUGACUCUACUAGCUAGUUAGAUGGCAGAUUUUUAGUUUUUUAGUUCGAAAUAUUAUUCAUAAUUCACCCUACCAGCGGAUCCUCAUUCUUACCUUUGCUUUUUGCGUUUUUGCUUAUCUUCACCAGAUAGUUAGAUAGCAUAUUUCUUCAAUUAGAUAGACAUAUAUAGCUCUUUAUACUCUUCAUAGCCACUCCAUAGCAACCAUCAUACUUCAUUCUACCUGCUAGUUUGAAAGCAACCAUCAUACUGCAUUCUUCCUCUACCAGCUAGUAUGAUAGCAACAUUCAUACUUUAUUCCACCAGCUAGUUUGAUAGCAACCAUCAUACUUCACUCUACCAGCUAGCUUGAUAAAAACCAUCAUACUUUACUCUACCAGCUAGUUUGAUAGCCACAAUCAUUCUUCACUCUACCAGCUAGUUUGAUAGCAACAUUCAUACUUCACUCUACCAGCUAGUUUGAUGGUAACAUUCAUACUUCACUCUACCAGCUAGUUUGAUGGUAACAUUCAUACUUCACUCUACCUGCUAGUUUGAUAGUAACAUACAUACUUUACUCUACCAGCUAGCUUGAUAGUAACAUACAUACUUCACUCUACAAGCUAGCUUGAUAGCAACAUACAUACUUCGCUCUACCAGCUAGCUUGAUAGUAACAUUCAUACUUCACUCUACCAGCUAGCUUGAUAGUAUUAUACAUACUUCACUCUACCAGCUAGCUUUAUAGCAAUCAUCAUACUUCACUCUACCAGCUAGCUUGAUAGUAACAUUCAUACUUCACUCUACCAGCUAGCUUGAUAGCAACAUACAUACUUCACUCUACCAGCUAGCUUGAUAGUAACAUACUUCACUCCACCAGCUAGUUUGAUGCUUGUUUGAUUGCAACCAUCAUACUUCACUCUUCCAGAUAGCUUGAUAACAAUCUUCACACCUUCUACAUGCCAGUUUAAUAGCAUACCUUCAUUUUUCACUUUGAUUAAGUUAAAACAUGAAAAUAAAUAUUUAACAUUGAAA
rnacentral:misc_RNA from 1 species